rnacentral:rRNA from 1 species
ACAAUGAAGAGUUUGAUCCUGGCUCAGGAUGAACGCUAGCUACAGGCUUAACACAUGCAAGUCGAGGGGCAGCAUGGUCUUAGCUUGCUAAGGCCGAUGGCGACCGGCGCACGGGUGAGUAACACGUAUCCAACCUGCCGUCUACUCUUGGACAGCCUUCUGAAAGGAAGAUUAAUACAAGAUGGCAUCAUGAGUCCACAUGUUCACAUGAUUAAAGGUAUUCCGGUAGACGAUGGGGAUGCGUUCCAUUAGAUAGUAGGCGGGGUAACGGCCCACCUAGUCUUCGAUGGAUAGGGGUUCUGAGAGGAAGGUCCCCCACAUUGGAACUGAGACACGGUCCAAACUCCUACGGGAGGCAGCAGUGAGGAAUAUUGGUCAAUGGGCGAGAGCCUGAACCAGCCAAGUAGCGUGAAGGAUGACUGCCCUAUGGGUUGUAAACUUCUUUUAUAAAGGAAUAAAGUCGGGUAUGCAUACCCGUUUGCAUGUACUUUAUGAAUAAGGAUCGGCUAACUCCGUGCCAGCAGCCGCGGUAAUACGGAGGAUCCGAGCGUUAUCCGGAUUUAUUGGGUUUAAAGGGAGCGUAGAUGGAUGUUUAAGUCAGUUGUGAAAGUUUGCGGCUCAACCGUAAAAUUGCAGUUGAUACUGGAUAUCUUGAGUGCAGUUGAGGCAGGCGGAAUUCGUGGUGUAGCGGUGAAAUGCUUAGAUAUCACGAAGAACUCCGAUUGCGAAGGCAGCCUGCUAAGCUGCAACUGACAUUGAGGCUCGAAAGUGUGGGUAUCAAACAGGAUUAGAUACCCUGGUAGUCCACACGGUAAACGAUGAAUACUCGCUGUUUGCGAUAUACAGCAAGCGGCCAAGCGAAAGCGUUAAGUAUUCCACCUGGGGAGUACGCCGGCAACGGUGAAACUCAAAGGAAUUGACGGGGGCCCGCACAAGCGGAGGAACAUGUGGUUUAAUUCGAUGAUACGCGAGGAACCUUACCCGGGCUUAAAUUGCAGAUGAAUUACGGUGAAAGCCGUAAGCCGCAAGGCAUCUGUGAAGGUGCUGCAUGGUUGUCGUCAGCUCGUGCCGUGAGGUGUCGGCUUAAGUGCCAUAACGAGCGCAACCCUUGUUGUCAGUUACUAACAGGUCAUGCUGAGGACUCUGACAAGACUGCCAUCGUAAGAUGUGAGGAAGGUGGGGAUGACGUCAAAUCAGCACGGCCCUUACGUCCGGGGCUACACACGUGUUACAAUGGGGGGUACAGAGGGCCGCUACCACGCGAGUGGAUGCCAAUCCCAAAAACCUCUCUCAGUUCGGACUGGAGUCUGCAACCCGACUCCACGAAGCUGGAUUCGCUAGUAAUCGCGCAUCAGCCACGGCGCGGUGAAUACGUUCCCGGGCCUUGUACACACCGCCCGUCAAGCCAUGGGAGCCGGGGGUACCUGAAGUGCGUAACCGCGAGGAGCGCCCUAGGGUAAAACUGGUGACUGGGGCUAAGUCGUAACAAGGUAGCCGUACCGGAAGGUGCGGCUGGAACACCUCCUUU